rnacentral:lncRNA from 1 species
CUGAACCGCUGCAUUCUUUAACGGGUACUCGGUCUGGGUGUGUACUGACCUCCUGCAGAGCGCUCCGUGCCUGGUGGAGACCAUUAUCACCUAGCUAACGGCUGUCGUUAAGAGGUGAAUUGCAAAGAGAAUAAGACACCUAAGCGUGAAUAAUGCUUUACACCUGCAGAGCCUGUCAGAGCCCCAGAGGUCAGUGCUGCCUUCAUCCAGAGGUGCGUGCUCUUGAACAAUCCCUGUGGACAUUUGGUCAUGCCAAAGGAGGUGACUACAGAUGUCAACUGUCCUUCAAUCUUGAGUCAUUGUGAGAUGUUAACUGAGUAAACUUGUGGUGUCUCAAGCAUUUGGAAUUUCAUACGGCAAGAAAGCAUUUUUUUUUACUAAAAAAGAGAAAGAAUAUUAGCUUUUUUUUUUUUUCAUCAUCUCAGCAUUUCAAUAUCUUUUUAUGUGUAGAUCCAUCUCAGAAAAAAAUGGAUAGCACAUCAGGAAAAAAAAUUAUGACACCACAAAAUGUGCUGAUGAGUCCCAACCACCUUACCACUUUUAAAACGAUACUGUGGUACUGUGGUAUUGACUGAAAAAUUAGACUUCAGAGCUAUAAAACUAGAUGACAAAUAUAUAUAUUUUUUCUCAUCAAAUUUUUAUUUCUCACCUUCAG